rnacentral:rRNA from 1 species
AAAUUGAAGAGUUUGAUCAUGGCUCAGAUUGAACGCUGGCGGCAGGCCUAACACAUGCAAGUCGAACGGUAACAGGAAGCAGCUUGCUGCUUCGCUGACGAGUGGCGGACGGGUGAGUAAUGUCUGGGAAACUGCCCGAUGGAGGGGGAUAACUACUGGAAACGGUGGCUAAUACCGCAUAACGUCGCAAGACCAAAGAGGGGGACCUUCGGGCCUCUUG